CUCCUGUCAGCAGCAGGGUCCCGACUGACGUGGCAGCUGCGGUUGUUCCUGUGGUGUGGGCCAGUGGAAUUCCAGGAGAGUGGAAGAGGGCGGAACCUGACGUGAAUGCAAGAACCUGCCAAGAAAACCAGUGGCAAAGGGGAUUGAUUAGUGCAGGACCUGAGAGAAGCCCCUUAAACGACAACCUGGAGUAGUUUCCAGUAUUAGAUUGAAAAGAUGGCCUUUGCUGCAUCUCCUUGAGCAAGGAAAGCCAAGAAACCUUUCCUUUGAGAGGGGGAAAAUCCGGAAAGUGGGAAGGAAGAAAAGAAGCCACGUGACUCCUCCCUGAGCCCCAGCCAGCCCAUGAACUGCCUUCCUGGGAAUGGUAGGACGAGGUGGGCUCUGGAUUGCUCCCUCUGGAUGUGUGGAACUGCAGGAAGUCCUGGUGCCGCCUGGGCCGAUGGAUUGGACGCCCCAGCCCCUCCGUUCCUGCCCAGCCACCGGGUCCGUGUCGAGUGGUGGGACUGCCAGCCCCUGCAGUGGGAUGUAGCCUGGAAACUGCCCAGAGCUGAGCCAAGGGAUUGAAAGGGAGCAACCAAGGGAGGUGAAGAACCAAGGAAGAAGGGAAGUGAGGCAGCAGGCAAGCAGCACCAAGUUCCUGUGUAAGCAGGUGAGUGGUCUGGAGGUUCCUGAGGCAGGCACUGAGGACUUGGAGGGCUCCAGACAGAGCAGACCUGCGAAGGCCCUCGGUGAAGCCCCUCGGAAACCUUCUGAGGGUAGGUGUGUAUGGUGAUAAGUGUUGGAAAAUGUCCUGAAUGUGGAACAGGAAUGCAGGGAACAAAAAUGAACCCUCCUGUAAUGCUGUCCCCUCCCAUCAGCUGCAGUGGAGACACCUCCGUGUGCCCUUUGGGAGCGGAUUGCCAGGACGCCCGUCGGGCU